rnacentral:rRNA from 2 species
UAAAACCAGCACCUCAAGUGGUCAGGAUGAUUAUUGGGCCUAAAGCAUCCGUAGCCUGUUUUGUCAGUUUUCGGUUAAAUCCAUACGCUCAACGUAUGGGCUGCCGGAAAUACUGCAAAACUAGGGAGUGGGAGAGGUAGACGGUACUCGGGAGGAAGUGGUAAAAUGCUUUGAUCUCUCGAUGACCACCUGUGGCGAAGGCGGUCUACCAGAACACGUCCGACGGUGAGGGAUGAAAGCUGGGGGAGCAAACCGGAUUAGAUACCUGGGUAGUCCCAGCUGUAAACUAUGCAAACUCAGUGAUGCAUUGGCUUGAUGCCAAUGCAGUGUUGCAGGGAAGCCGUUAAGUUUGCCGCCUGGGAAGUACGUACGCAAGUAUG